rnacentral:rRNA from 1 species
CCCGUAACUGACGCUGAGGAGCGAAAGCUUGGGGAGCGAACAGGAUUAGAUACCCUGGUAGUCCACGCCGUAAACGGUGGGUGCUAGUUGUGGGCCACAUUCCACGUGGUCCGUGACGAAGUUAACACAUUAAGCACCCCGCCUGGGGAGUACGGUCGCAAGACUAAAACUCAAAGGAAUUGACGGGGGCCCGCACAAGCGGCGGAGCAUGCGGAUUAAUUCGAUGCAACGCGAAGAACCUUACCAAGGCUUGACAUAUAGAGGAAACGUGCAGAAAUGUACGCCCCGCAAGGUCUCUAUACAGGUGGUGCAUGGUUGUCGUCAGCUCGUGUCGUGAGAUGUUGGGUUAAGUCCCGCAACGAGCGCAACCCUCGUCCUAUGUUGCCAGCACGUAAAGGUGGGAACUCAUGGGAGACUGCCGGGGUCAACUCGGAGGAAGGUGGGGAUGACGUCAAAUCAUCAUGCCCCUUAUGUCUUGGGCUUCACGCAUGCUACAAUGGCCAGUACAAAGGGCUGCAAUACCGUAAGGUGGAGCGAAUCCCAAAAAGCUGGUCUCAGUUCGGAUUGAGGUCUGCAACUCGACCUCAUGAAGUCGGAGUCGCUAGUAAUCGCAGAUCAGCAACGCUGCGGUGAAUACGUUCCCGGGCCUUGUACACACCGCCCGUCAAGUCACGAAAGUCGGUAACACCCGAAGCCGGUGGCCCUAACCGUAAGGAAG